rnacentral:ncRNA from 1 species
UCGGGGGGAGCCGCCUGGCGGCUGAGAGGUCCGGAAGGACGACCCCGAACCUGAUCCGGUUAAUGCCGGCGUAGGGACUGGU